GAUGAACGCUGGCGGCGUGCCUAAUACAUGCAAGUCGAGCGAACGGACGAGAAGCUUGCUUCUCUGAUGUUAGCGGCGGACGGGUGAGUAACACGUGGAUAACCUACCUAUAAGACUGGGAUAACUUCGGGAAACCGGAGCUAAUACCGGAUAAUAUUUUGAACCGCAUGGUUCAAAAGUGAAAGACGGUCUUGCUGUCACUUAUAGAUGGAUCCGCGCUGCAUUAGCUAGUUGGUAAGGUAACGGCUUACCAAGGCAACGAUGCAUAGCCGACCUGAGAGGGUGAUCGGCCACACUGGAACUGAGACACGGUACAGACGCCUACGGGAGGCAGCAGUAGGGAAUCUUCCGCAAUGGGCGAAAGCCUGACGGAGCAACGCCGCGUGAGUGAUGAAGGUCUUCGGAUCGUAAAACUCUGUUAUUAGGGAAGAACAUAUGUGUAAGUAACUGUGCACAUCUUGACGGUACCUAAUCAGAAAGCCACGGCUAACUACGUG
rnacentral:rRNA from 1 species